GGGAAUGUGGCUUAGUGGCAGAGUGCUUGUCUAGCAUUCAUGAGAUCCUGGGUUCGAUUCCUCAGUACCA
rnacentral:tRNA from 1 species